rnacentral:rRNA from 1 species
CUUUACACAUGCAAGUNNNCGGUAACAGGAAGCUUGNUCCRGAAUGACGGARUGGCGAACGGGURAGUAAUAUAUCGGAAYGUACCCAAGAGUGGGGGAUAACGUAGCGAAAGUUACGCUAAUACCGCAUACGAUCUAUGGAUGAAAGCAGGGGACCUUCGGGCCUUGUGCUCCUGGAGCGGCCGAUAUCUGAUUAGCUAGUUGGUGAGGUAAAGGCUCACCAAGGCGACGAUCAGUAGCUGGUCUGAGAGGACGACCAGCCACACUGGAACUGAGACACGGUCCAGACUCCUACGGGAGGCAGCAGUGGGGAAUUUUGGACAAUGGGCGCAAGCCUGAUCCAGCAAUGCCGCGUGAGUGAAGAAGGCCUUCGGGUUGUAAAGCUCUUUUGUCAGGGAAGAAACGGCUGUGGCUAAUAUCCACGGCUAAUGACGGUACCUGAAGAAUAAGCACCGGCUAACUACGUGCCAGCMGCCGCGGUAA